rnacentral:rRNA from 1 species
UGCAAGCAGCAGACCAAUUCCCUUGCCANUAAUACAUUAGCAUGGGAUAAUGGAAUANGCGAACCCUGUUNCUCCUAUUUUCAAGUUGGUUNAAUGGCAGCUGCGAAGGAACUACGGUAAUGAUUAAUAAGUGGAUAGUUGGGGGCACUUAAUAUUUAAUUGUCACGAGUGUGAAAUUCUUGGGAAUUUAUGCAACACGACUUAACUUCUGCGCAAAAGCACUCUUGUGCCACAGGGGAUGGUUUUCACUUAAAUCACAGAACGCAAAAAGUUACGGGGAAUCGCAAGAACGCAAAUCACGAAAUAUACCGCGUCGUAAGAUCUUUAAACCAUAUAAACGAAAUGUCCCGCAANACACCACAGAGCGGAAAUUAUUAAUAGAUGAAGANAAACAACGGNUUUUUGGAGCAAGAUUUAUUCCUACUACAAAAAACAANACACCCACAGCCCAACAAUACCCGUAGGGUAUGUAACCAGGGGGUACCAGAUUACCCAUNUUAUUGUUGGAGCAGGGAUUAACAUAUCGCAAUAGANAUANCCCNAUUAUUACAAGAGCAGANAGGCAGGGGGGGCAGCAGAUGAUAGACANNAGAUGGAACCGGAAGAGGUUCGGAAUAAGUNGGACGUACUAUAAAAAUCGACCGACCAGGAGGACUCGGUGNUAAGUGAACNCAAGGAGGGAUAUNUAAUACAAUAAGGAAAAC